rnacentral:rRNA from 1 species
UGCAGUCGAGGGGCAUCAGGAAGAAAGCUUGCUUUCUUUGCUGGCGACCGGCGCACGGGUGAGUAACACGUAUCCAACCUGCCCUUUACUCGGGGAUAGCCUUUCGAAAGAAAGAUUAAUACCCGAUGGCAUAAUGAUUCCGCAUGGUUUCAUUAUUAAAGGAUUCCGGUAAAGGAUGGGGAUGCGUUCCAUUAGGUUGUUGGUGAGGUAACGGCUCACCAAGCCUUCGAUGGAUAGGGGUUCUGAGAGGAAGGUCCCCCACAUUGGAACUGAGACACGGUCCAAACUCCUACGGGAGGCAGCAGUGAGGAAUAUUGGUCAAUGGGCGCUAGCCUGAACCAGCCAAGUAGCGUGAAGGAUGAAGGCUCUAUGGGUCGUAAACUUCUUUUAUAUAAGAAUAAAGUGCAGUAUGUAUACUGUUUUGUAUGUAUUAUAUGAAUAAGGAUCGGCUAACUCCGUGCCAGCAGCCGCGGUAAUACGGAGGAUCCGAGCGUUAUCCGGAUUUAUUGGGUUUAAAGGGAGCGUAGGUGGACUGGUAAGUCAGUUGUGAAAGUUUGCGGCUCAACCGUAAAAUUGCAGUUGAUACUGUCAGUCUUGAGUACAGUAGAGGUGGGCGGAAUUCGUGGUGUAGCGGUGAAAUGCUUAGAUAUCACGAAGAACUCCGAUUGCGAAGGCAGCUCACUGGACUGCAACUGACACUGAUGCUCGAAAGUGUGGGUAUCAAACAGGAUUAGAUACCCUGGUAGUCCACACAGUAAACGAUGAAUACUCGCUGUUUGCGAUAUACAGUAAGCGGCCAAGCGAAAGCAUUAAGUAUUCCACCUGGGGAGUACGCCGGCAACGGUGAAACUCAAAGGAAUUGACGGGGGCCCGCACAAGCGGAGGAACAUGUGGUUUAAUUCGAUGAUACGCGAGGAACCUUACCCGGGCUUAAAUUGCAGUGGAAUGAUGUGGAAACAUGUCAGUGAGCAAUCACCGCUGUGAAGGUGCUGCAUGGUUGUCGUCAGCUCGUGCCGUGAGGUGUCGGCUUAAGUGCCAUAACGAGCGCAACCCUUAUCUUUAGUUACUAACAGGUUAUGCUGAGGACUCUAGAGAGACUGCCGUCGUAAGAUGUGAGGAAGGUGGGGAUGACGUCAAAUCAGCACGGCCCUUACGUCCGGGGCUACACACGUGUUACAAUGGGGGGUACAGAAGGCAGCUAGCGGGUGACCGUAUGCUAAUCCCAAAAGCCUCUCUCAGUUCGGAUCGAAGUCUGCAACCCGACUUCGUGAAGCUGGAUUCGCUAGUAAUCGCGCAUCAGCCACGGCGCGGUGAAUACGUUCCCGGGCCUUGUACACACCGCCCGUCAAGCCAUGGGAGCCGGGGGUACCUGAAGUACGUAACCGCAAGGAUC